CACAGACAUUUAUGUAUGGACUGAAUGUUUAACCUAUCAAUAUAUAAGUCGCGCAAACCCUUAUGGAAAUAUAUUUUUUGGGUCGUACAUUGUAUUUCAUGCACUGAUCGCUUGCCAUGUCUGUCUAGGCACCUCACAUAUGGUCGAUUAGGCCGGUCUAUUGUGUCUUGCAGGUCUUAUAUAAAUAUACAGAUAACAAAUAUGACUCGUAUAUAUUUCUUAAUUUCUGAAUUAUUGCAAUGAUAUCUACUAGAACGCGAUAGUUUUACUUUCUCAAUUAUUUCCGAAACAUUUCGUUGCUUUUAAUUGCUAAAAAAUAAUAUAUCGCAUGCGAUUUUCUCGGCAAAAUUUUCUACCACACAUUAUUACCCUUUCAAAACACUAAGAUCAGUUCAUGACGUAUUUAACUAAUGAAAUAAGGUACUUGAUGUAAUUAUGAACAUAAGUAGGCCAUACGGAAUGCACAUAAACGAAAUACAUGGCAAGGACAUGUAUAAAAAGCGAAAUGUAAAAGAAUAUAAUUUCGACUCAUUUCAGACAAUCCUGGACAAAACCAUCUGCGACACUCUAUUAAAACAUUGCUUUGUGGCUUUUUUUACCA